UUAACACAUGCAAGUCGAGUGCGCGUCCGUAGCAAUACGGAUGGCGCACGGCGCACGGGUGCGUAACACGUGGGUAAUCUGCCCUCUGAUGGGGAAUAACUCGCCGAAAGGCGAGCUAAUACCGCAUAACAUUCCUUGGACUCCGGUUCGAGGAUUCAAAGGCGUAAGUCGUCGGAGGUGGAGCCCGCGCACGAUUAGCUAGUUGGUAGGGUAAUGGCCUACCAAGGCUUUGAUCGUUAGCUGGUCUGAGAGGAUGGCCAGCCACACUGGAACUGAGACACGGUCCAGACUCCUACGGGAGGCAGCAGUGGGGAAUCUUGCACAAUGGGCGAAAGCCUGAUGCAGCGACGCCGCGUGGGGGAUGAAGCUUCUCGGAGUGUAAACCCCUUUCGACCGGGACGAAUACCUCGCAAGAGGGGUGACGGUACCGGUAUAAGAAGCCCCGGCUAACUACGUGCCAGCAGCCG
rnacentral:rRNA from 1 species